UUCUAGCUUGCUAGAAGAUGACGAGCGGCGGACGGGUGAGUAAUGCUUGGGAAUAUGCCUUAGGGUGGGGGACAACAGUUGGAAACGACUGCUAAUACCGCAUAACGUCUACGGACCAAAGGGGGCUUCGGCUCUCGCCCUUAGAUUAGCCCAAGUGGGAUUAGCUAGUUGGUGAGGUAAUGGCUCACCAAGGCGACGAUCCCUAGCUGGUUUGAGAGGAUGAUCAGCCACACUGGAACUGAGACACGGUCCAGACUCCUACGGGAGGCAGCAGUGGGGAAUAUUGCACAAUGGGCGCAAGCCUGAUGCAGCCAUGCCGCGUGUGUGAAGAAGGCCUUAGGGUUGUAAAGCACUUUCAGUAAGGAGGAAAGGUUAGUAGUUAAUACCUGCUAGCUGUGACGUUACUUACAGAAGAAGCACCGGCUAACUCCGUGCCAGCAGCCGCGGUAAUACGGAGGGUGCGAGCGUUAAUCGGAAUUACUGGGCGUAAAGCGUACGCAGGCGGUUUGUUAAGCGAGAUGUGAAAGCCCCGGGCUCAACCUGGGAACUGCAUUUCGAACUGGCAAACUAGAGUAUGAUAGAGGGUGGUAGAAUUUCAGGUGUAGCGGUGAAAUGCGUAGAGAUCUGAAGGAAUACCGAUGGCGAAGGCAGCCACCUGGGUCAAUACUGACGCUCAUGUACGAAAGCGUGGGGAGCAAACGGGAUUAG
rnacentral:rRNA from 1 species